rnacentral:lncRNA from 1 species
AUCCACCCUCCACAGGAAAAUCCACUAAGCCUGAGCUAACAAAUGGUUAUGUCUCUGAUGUAAAAUUCUUGUAUAACAUUAAAGAGAAUAUGCAUUAUGGUUGUGCUUCUGGAUAUAAAACCACUGGAGGGAAGCAUGAAGAAGUGGUGCAGUGUCUUUCAGAUGGAUGAUCUUCUCAGCCAACCUGUAGGAAGGAGCAUGGUAGGUA